GCAUAACGCGAAGAACCUUACCUGGUCUUGACAUAGUAAGAACUUUCCAGAGAUGGAUUGGUGCCUUCGGGAACUUACAUACAGGUGCUGCAUGGCCGUCGUCAGCUCGUGUCGUGAGAUGUUGGGUUAAGUCCCGCAACGAGCGCUAACCCUUUCCUUAUUUGCCAGCGGGUUAAGCCGGGUAACUUUAAGGAUACUGCCAGUGACAAACUGGAGGAAGGCGGGGACGACGUCAAGUCAUCAUGGCCCUUACGACCAGGGCUACACACGUGCUACAAUGGUCGGUACAAAGGGUUGCUACCUAGCGAUAGGAUGCUAAUCUCAAAAAGCCGAUCGUAGUCCGGAUUGGAGUCUGCAACUCGACUCCAUGAAGUCGGAAUCGCUAGUAAUCGCGGAUCAGAAUGCCGCGGUGAAUACGUUCCCGGGUCUUGUACACACCG
rnacentral:rRNA from 1 species